GGCCGGGAACGAGCGGCGCGGGGCCGGGAGGGGGAGCGCGGCCGGCACCGGCACCGGGAGCCGCCUCGGGCGCCGCGGCCUAGGGGGCUCGUGAGGAGGAGGCGGUGGCGGCCGCUGCUGCGCGGUCUUGGCUCCGGGCCGGGCUGGGCUGAGGCGCCGCGCCCUGAGGCGGCCUCUUUGGGUGCGAAAUGCUGAGGACGCUGCAUGUGCUAAUACGUGAAUGGCUUGAUGAAGCAGCGAGACCAUCUCAUGCAGUAUAGGAGGAUGUAGUGCGGUUACAUUUAUCGUUUCUAUGCUACUGAUCUUGGAUAUCUUGACUUUGCCCUUGAUAAUCACUUUUACUCACCAGUCUCUUUCAAACAGAAAUCUUCAGUUCUCAGGUUAACCUGUGUUAUGACAGGAUAAGUUCUCACAGUAUUGCUCAGAACAGAAUGUUUUUAUAAGAGUAGCUGGCAUCCACAUUCUCUAAUUUAGCAGUAGAGAAACCCACACAGGUGGUGUUUCCUUUCCUGGUACCUGUUGACUACCUGCUUACCUUUUGAACCUGGGUCAGAUUAUAAAAGUCUCAGCUCUCUAGUCACCGAAAAUAUUUACUGGUUUGUUAAAAAGAACUACAUCUGCUGCUGUGAAGCCGAGAUCUGUUAUACAAUUCUGUCACACAACUCUGGUGGUCUGUCUUUAGCAGAAAACACUGUAAAGCUAAUUUUACCAUCGUUUCUCAAAAACAGAGGUCAUAGAAAGGCACUGGAAACAGUGUAGCCCUCCUUCAGAACAGGUAAUAGUUAUUCCUUUAGAGCAUUCAAUUAUUUCUAAACACUUAACAACAGCACACCAAUGUUUAGGAAUGAUCAGUGAAUGAUCAGCUGUGAAAAAGGUCCGUUUGGACAUGUUAAAGCUUAAUUAACACCAUUUGGCAGUUCCUUAGGAGGAACUAGUAUGGCAGGAUAACUGUGUGAUGUCUCAGGCUGUGAGCCCAAAAGGACAUUCACUGAUACUUAGAAAGUGGGAGUUUUGGGAAGUGGUGGGUGGAAAUACUCUCUCAAGCCAUGUAAUUAAAAUGAAAUGAGCUGCCAGAGGAAAUCAUCCAGCAAGAGUCAAAGCAAGCAGGUAUUUGUGAGAGCACCAGCACGGCCAAAAACACACUGGGAAGACAUUAAAUGUGUGACUCAGGGUUCAAACUGAUCUUUUUGGCAAUGAGAACUGUACUUUUCUGUGUUACAGGAUAUCAAAAUAUGUUUUUCACAGUGUCUUGUGCUCUCCCCGAGUGCCCUGGUGCUGAGUUAGGGAGGGGGUUGGACUGGCAGGAAAGGGAAUAUGUAAAAUGCUCUCGCUGGCUGUGUUGCUGUGCAGGCAGCAGUUCAGAGGUCUCCUGCUGUCCCCUGCUCCCCAGGGGGGCAUGUGCAGGUACCUGAGCAGAGCCUCAGCUGUGUGUGUGCAGUGCAAGAACCGCAGCUGGUGCCAUGUGUGCCGCACACCCGGAGCACUGGGAGCCUGGAAUGUGGGUCUGGGCCAAGGAAAAGGCCCAUGUUGGCAGCAGUGGGUUCUCCCCUGCCAGGGCUGUUGGGCUCCCUGUCACACCGAGUUUGCCUCACUUCAGAGACACUGAGGGAAACGUGCCACUGCCUGCUCCUGCAGUGGGAUCCUCACUGCUCCUUCAAAGGCCGUUCGUCCUAGUUUAGGAUUUCCUUCCCACUCCCUGAGCCUUGCAGAGCCCUUAGCUCUGUGUCCAUACACUCCUGUAAACCCACAUGCUCAGGAGUGAGUUCCCUGCUCGUGCAGAGCUGAAGAGCUGGGGGUUCCCCGGUGUCCUGGGGAGCUGUUUGCAGGGUCUGCAGCUCAGGGCUGGAGUUUAUUCCAGUUUAACUUCAGCAUCUGGCGCUUCCCAGGAAAUUCAGGAGUUGUGCACUGCUAGAGUUGCUCUCCCGUGUGUCAGGACCCACAUGGGAUCAGGGCAUCCCUCAGAAUUCUGUUUCAUAAGCUAAAAUCCCAAGUCUUACUUUUGCAGGGGGAAAGGGUUUAAUUCCCUGGAUAAUUUGGGGAGGAGGGGUUCUUCCCUUAAGUUCCUUAAAGAGACCUUAGAGCCCUUCCCAGUGCCUAAAGGGAGCCUGCAGGAAGGCUGAACAGACACUUUGGACAAGGGCCUGGAGGGACAGGACAACGGGGAAUGGCUUUCCACUGCCAGAGGGCAGGGGUGGAUGGAAUAUUGGGAAGAAAUUGUUCCCUGGGAGGGUGGGCAGGCCCUGGCACAGGCUGCCCAGAGAAGCUGUGGCUGCCCCUGGAUCCCUGGAAGUGUCCAAGGCCAGGUUGGACGGGGCUUGGAGCAACCUGGGCUGGUGGAAGGUGUCCCUGCCCAUGG